UUUGGUAGCUUCACGCUGAGAGGAAGCGAAGGGAUGAGAUAAGGACGCUUGCUUGCUUGUUCCAAAGAACUUUUAUUCCCCCAUGCAUGGUGGGAUGCUCUCUGGACUGCAUGCAGCGCAAAUGCCAACGGACAAAGAACUUGCAACAGAUUAAGUAGGGAAUGGGUGGACAGGGAUGGAAACCUGCCUCACCCUAUAGGGACAGACUACAGGGGAGUGACAUGGAUUAUAACAACCUAUGGGAACAUAACAGAGGGAGUGGCUACAAGACUGACACCUCAAAAAGGAGUGAGCAAACCUUGACUGACAGAACCACGUAAGGAGAAAACUGUGAGAAGUGAGAAGAUUGACAGGGCUUUCCGACAUUAUUUGAGCAUACUGUGCACAUAAUGCUAUGACAAACCAGUGAGAUAUAGGUAGUGUGCAGGAUAUUAGGAGGCUCUGCAUUAUUUUCAAUAAAAGGUAAGUAGGUCUAAUUUUUCUAUUUUUUAAAUUCUAAUUUAUUAUUAUUUUUAGUGGCUGUGAAGAUAAUUCUAUGUCUGAAAAAAGGAAAUAAGAGACCAGCAUUAUGCAAAUGAACACGUCUGUAUUGGCACAAAAGAACUAAAAAAAUAUGAAUGGUGGAUUGGAGUUGUUUUAACAGAACAAUGAAAGAUGAAUGACUAUAUAUCAAGUUUUAAUGAAUACCUGACUGAGGAGGCAUAUGAAAACAGCAUGAGCAGAAUUUAGACAAAGGAUAUUCUCAAUAGGAUAUUAGUGAUAAAAACUCCCCUGCUCAAAAAUGAGACAGAGAUGAAACUUCAUAUUCAGCAGAACGCAAUACUGCCAAUAUGGACAUCAAACUUUUUGUUUUUCAAUUCCAACCCAUAAAACUUUACAUUCCAGUUGAGUAAUAA